rnacentral:rRNA from 1 species
AUUGAACGCUGGCGGCAGGCCUAACACAUGCAAGUCGAACGAGUGGCGGACGGGUGAGUAAUGUCUGGGAAACUGCCUGAUGGAGGGGGAUAACUACUGGAAACGGUAGCUAAUACCGCAUACCAUCAGAUGUGCCCAGAUGGGAUUAGCUAGUUGGUUGGGUAACGGCUAACCAAGGCGACGAUCCCUAGCUGGUCUGAGAGGAUGACCAGCCACUAUGGAACUGAGACACGGUCCAGACUCCUACGGGAGGCAGCAGUGGUGAAUAUUGCACAAUGGGCGCAAGCCUGAGGCAGGCAUGCCGCGUGUAUGAAGAAGGCCGUCGGGUUGUAAAGUACUUUCAGCUGGGAGGCGUUACCCGCAGAAGAAGCACCGGCUAACUCCGUGCCAGCAGCCGCGGUAAUAC